GGGGAUUUGGCUCAGUGGUAGAGUGCUUGCCUAGCAAGCGCAAGGCCCUGGGUUCGAUCCCCAGCUCCG
rfam:Rattus norvegicus chromosome 19, whole genome shotgun sequence.